AACGAGGUGGCUGAGUGGUUAAGGCGAUGGACUCCUAAUUGAUUGUGCUAAGUAUGCGUGGGUUCAAAUCCCAUCCUCGUCA
rnacentral:tRNA from 1 species